GUGGCUGUAGUUCAUCGGUAGAAUACUGCGUUGUGACCGCAGGGGUAGUGAGGUCAGCACUCACCAGCCACCCCA
rnacentral:tRNA from 1 species